GGCAGUUCCUUGGGUUUUAAAAGGUGAUGGGCAGCUGCUGCCAACCAUCACACUCACCCAUGAGGGAACUGUAGCUCAGCAUCAGCCAGCCAGUCACAGGGAGAGGAGCAACUCAAGGUGUCAUGCAUGGAUUUCUCCGUCUCCCAUUCAGACAGUGGGUGCAUUCAGAUUUAAUGGUGGCACCUCAGCUUGCUGCCAUCCCAGGAGUACAUACUCUCCCCUCCCCAGGUGUUUUACUGUUGUGGGCUUCUCAGAGGCAUCUGGUGGGCCACUGUGUGAAACGGACUAGAUAGGCCUUGGGCCUGAUCCAGCCAGGCUGUUCUUAUGCAGUAGUUUCUACUUGAGAGGAGCAAGUGGAGUGCAUUCGGCACAGAUGUUCCUUCAAAAUAAAUGCCAAAAAGGAGCUAGUUUAUCAAUGGCUAGAAGACUGCUUUAACCUGGCAACCUUUGAACUGACAACGUACCGUUGUAUGCUGAAAGAAGACUCCCAUACCAGCAUUUGGAAGGACUAUCUUCUUUAUAUAUAAUUCGCUAAGGCAUACCUGUGGCUAAUCCCAUGUGUGGUAGCUCUUGCAAGAGUUCGGGGAUGGGGACGGGUUGGGGGAAGAAAAUGGCAGCGGUGGCAGCCAUCUGGCCGGUGGGGCGGGGAGAUAACGGCAGCAGCGGGCAAAUGGCCGUUGCAGCGGGUGCAAGGAGAAAGGGGGUGGGUGGGAGAAGGAUACAGUGGUGGGGAGAAUUAAAAAGCACUGGCCAGGCUGGCCGGGGAGGGAAAGCACCACCAGCUGGCCGGGAAGGAAAGCAAACUGGGAGGGGGGAAAUGGACUGGGGCUGAAGCAGGGGGAGGAAUAAAGAUGGCGAGGAGAGACAGGGAGAACUACGGGCGCAGAUGCUCUGUGCCAGAUCAGCUAGUUUAGAGUUAUUCUCAUAAUUUCCUCUGUUUAUUUCAAAUCAAUAACUGUGUUAACCCCUCCAUCCUUCCCUUCGCUUCCCCCCCCCCUUUUCUGCUUGUUUCUGUUUUUGUCUCCUAUCCCCACCCUUUUAUUGUAAUUUAUAUUUCUCAUAUAUAAAUAUUCAUUGUAUUUGUA